GCGGGCUUAACAUAGUGGUAAUGUGCUUGCUUCCCAAGCAAGAUAGACGAGUUCGAUUCUCGUAGCCCGCU
rnacentral:tRNA from 2 species